rnacentral:tRNA from 1 species
GGGGAAGUCGUCCAGCGGCCAGGACACCGGGGCUAAUUACUCUGGAGACGACGGUUCGAAUCCGUCCUUCUUAG